rnacentral:rRNA from 1 species
CAUUACCGAGGGGGGGCCCCCCCCUCCACCCGUUCGGGCGGGGGGUUGGGGGCCCGGAUCUUCCCACCCCAUGUUGACCGUACCACGUUGCUUCGGUGGGGACGCCUGCCGAAGGGGCUCCRAUUAACCGCUGUUUCGGCCUGAGUUGUUGUCUGAGUCGGGUUGAUGAAUAUAUAAACAAAAACUUUCAACAAUGGAUCUCUUGGUUCCGGCAUCGAUGAANAACGCAGCGAAAUGUGAUAAGUAAUGUGAAUUGCANAAUUCCGUGAAUCAUCGAAUCUUUGAACGCAUAUUGCGCUCUCUGGGAGUCCAGAGAGCAUGCCUGUCCGAGCGUCAGUGCCUGUUCUCCGGGCCGCCACCACCCCUGGGGGUGGUGGGGCCCGGGUGUUGGGUGCGCCGUCCCCCGGGGAUCUCCCGAUGGGAGGACGGGCCCGAAAUGCAGCGGCGGUGCCGUGUCCGGUCCUGGAGCGUUAUGGGGCGUCUGUCACCCGCUCGAGAGAGGGCCCUGGACCCGGUCGCUGGCCUUGUGUGUGGGACGUUCGAAUCACAUCCGAUUGACCUCGGAUCAGGUAGGGAUACCCGCUGAACUUAAGCAUAUCAAUA